rnacentral:rRNA from 1 species
GUCUACGGCCAUGCUACCCUUAACAGACUGAUCCAGACUGAUCUCGGAAGCUAAGCAGGGUUGGGCCUGGUUAGUAUUUGGAUAGGAGACCACCUAGGAAGACCACGUGCUGUAGGCA